rnacentral:rRNA from 1 species
UACGUAGGGAGCGAGCGUUGUCCGGAUUUACUGGGUGUAAAGGGCGUGCAGCCGGGCUGGCAAGUCAGAUGUGAAAUCCAGAGGCUUAACCUCUGAACUGCAUUUGAAACUGCUGGUCUUGAGUACCGGAGAGGUUAUCGGAAUUCCUUGUGUAGCGGUGAAAUGCGUAGAUAUAAGGAAGAACACCAGUGGCGAAGGCGGAUAACUGGACGGCAACUGACGGUGAGGCGCGAAAGCGUGGGGAGCAAACAGG